rnacentral:misc_RNA from 1 species
UGAUGAAUGGAAAGAGUGCAACC